rnacentral:tRNA from 1 species
GCGGACGUGGUGGAACUGGCAGACACGCGAGCCUCAGAAGCUCGUGGCCUCGCGGCCGUGAGAGUUCGAGCCUCUCCGUCCGCACCA